UACGGAGGGUGCGAGCGUUGUCCGGAAUCACUGGGCGUAAAGGGCGCGUAGGCGGCGCGGGAAGUCAACGGUGAAAGCUUGGAGCUCAACUCCGAGUCGGCCGUCGAUACUCCCGUGCUCGAGCACUGUAGAGGCAGAUGGAAUUCCGGGUGUAGCGGUGGAAUGCGUAGAGAUCCGGAAGAACACCGGUGGCGAAGGCGGUCUGCUGGGCAGUUGCUGACGCUGAGGCGCGACAGCGUGGGGAGCAAACAGG
rnacentral:rRNA from 1 species